UACGUAGGGGGCAAGCGUUGUCCGGAAUCAUUGGGCGUAAAGCGCGUGUAGGCGGCCAGAAAAGUCCGCUGUGAAAACUCGAGGCUCAACUUCGAGCUGUCGGCGGAAACCCUCUGGCUAGAGUCCGGAAGAGGAGAGUGGAAUUCCCGGUGUAGCGGUGAAAUGCGCAGAUAUCGGGAAGAACACCCGUGGCGAAGGCGGCUCUCUGGAACGGUACUGACGCUGAGACGCGAAAGCGUGGGGAGCGAACAGGGA
rnacentral:rRNA from 1 species